rnacentral:rRNA from 1 species
GAUGAACGCUGGCGGCGUGCCUAAUACAUGCAAGUCGAGCGAACAGAUGAGGAGCUUGCUCCUCUGACGUUAGCGGCGGACGGGUGAGUAACACGUGGAUAACCUACCUAUAAGACUGGGAUAACUUCGGGAAACCGGAGCUAAUACCGGAUAAUAUAUUGAACCGCAUGGUUCAAUAGUGAAAGACGGUUUUGCUGUCACUUAUAGAUGGAUCCGCGCCGCAUUAGCUAGUUGGUAAGGUAACGGCUUACCAAGGCAACGAUGCGUAGCCGACCUGAGAGGGUGACCGGCCACACUGGAACUGAGACACGGUCCAGACUCCUACGGGAGGCAGCAGUAGGGAAUCUUCCGCAAUGGGCGAAAGCUUGACGGAGCAACGCCGCGUGAGUGAUGAAGGUCUUCGGAUCGUAAAACUCUGUUAUUAGGGAAGAACAAAUGUGUAAGUAACUAUGCACGUCUUGACGGUACCUAAUCAGAAAGCCACGGCUAACUACGUG